rnacentral:rRNA from 1 species
UACGUAGGGUGCAGGCGUUAAUCGGAAUUACUGGGCGUAAAGCGUGCGCAGGCGGUCUUUUUAAGUCAGAUGUGAAAAUCCCCCGGGCUUAACCUGGGAACUGCGUUUUGAAACUGGAAGGCUUGAGUGUGGCAGAGGGGGGGUGGAAUUCCACGUGUAGCAGUGAAAUGCGUAGAUAUGUGGAGGAACACCGAUGGCGAAGGCAGCCCCUUGUGGCAACACUGACGCUCAUGCACGAAAGCGUGGGGAGCAAACAGGAUUAGAACCUACCGUCGCAGACCAAG